rnacentral:lncRNA from 1 species
UUCCUGUCCUGUCUGCCGCCAUGCUUCCUUAACUAGCUGCUAGGUUUUUUCCUUGUCGUGAUGAAAUCCACCCUCAUGGACCUACACUACCGAACUGGACUGCUGGUAUAUUCAUGAAGUGCUUAUGAGUGGAUCGAGCAGCCCCUAUGGAUUCCUGUGAACAGAACUGCUGAUUUACUAACAACGCAGAUGGAAGUUGCUUCAAAGAACAACUUCUGAACAGGUAUUGUUGCCCAUUCUGUGAAUAAUACAAAGGCAGUGGGAACAAGACAGUACAGAGGACUUGAUUCAGGAGACUUGAGGUCUGGCCGCAUAGUCAUCCUUUAGAAGCUGGGUGGCGUCAGGAAGUUUUCCUUUUUCUCAAUGUAAAGUGAAGAAAAAAAAUCCAGUGUUUCUCAACUGUACUGCUAUUCCUAUUUAGCUAUUGUAUCUAGGCUGAUCCUGGGACUGUGAGAUGGAGAGUGAGUACCGGGAAAUGCUGUUGUUGACCGGCCUGGACCACAUCACGGAGGAAGAACUGAAACGGUUCAAGUACUUUGCUUUGACUGAGUUUCAGAUUGCCAGGAGCACACUCGACGUGGCAGAUAGGACAGAGUUAGCUGACCACCUGAUUCAAAGUGCAGGUGCGGCGUCUGCAGUGACCAAGGCCAUUAAUAUUUUCCAGAAGUUGAAUUAUAUGCAUAUUGCAAAUGCUCU